CAUAUCAAUAAGCGGAGGAAAAGAAACCAACAGGGAUUGCCCUAGUAACGGCGAGUGAAGCGGCAACAGCUCAAAUUUGAAAUCUGGCCCUAGGUCCGAGUUGUAAUUUGCAGAGGAUGCUUUUGGCGCGGUGCCUUCCGAGUUCCCUGGAACGGGACGCCAUAGAGGGUGAGAGCCCCGUCUGGUCGGAUACCUAGCCUCUGUAAAGCUCCUUCGACGAGUCGAGUAGUUUGGGAAUGCUGCUCAAAAUGGGAGGUAUAUGUCUUCUAAAGCUAAAUACCGGCCAGAGACCGAUAGCGCACAAGUAGAGUGAUCGAAAGAUGAAAAGCACUUUGAAAAGAGGGUUAAAUAGUACGUGAAAUUGUUGAAAGGGAAGCGCUUGUGACCAGACUUGGGCUUGGUGAAUCACCCGGCGUUCUCGCCGGGGCACUUUGCCGGUCCAGGCCAGCAUCAGUUCGCCGCGGGGGAUAAAGGCUUCGGGAAUGUGGCUCUUCGGAGUGUUAUAGCCCGUUGCGUAAUACCCUG
rnacentral:rRNA from 1 species